AGCUUUGUGCAGUGGCAGUAUCAUAGCCAAUGAGGUUUAUCUGAGGUACAAUUAUUGCUAAUUGAAAAUAAAGAAAGCUUUGGCUUUGAUAGCU
rnacentral:snRNA from 1 species